GUCUCAGUUCGGAUUGGAGUCUGCAACCCGACUCCAUGAAGCUGGAUUCGCUAGUAAUCGCGCAUCAGCCACGGCGCGGUGAAUACGUUCCCGGGCCUUGUACACACCGCCCGUCAAGCCAUGGAAGCCGGGGGUGCCUGAAGCGCGCUGCCGCAAGGAGCGCCCUAGGGUAAAACCGGUGACUGGGGCUAAGUCGUAACAAGGUACC
rnacentral:rRNA from 1 species